UUGGAUAUCGAUCUGCCUUUGCCUGUCCAAGCUAGCUUUAUGCGUUGCGGUCGUGUUCCGGUGGAUUUUCGAGUCAGCCGUGGGACCGCGCGUACGAGGGAGCUGAACUCGUUCCCGAGCUUAUAAAGCGGCUGCCGAGGGAGCACAUUUCUGCAAAAUCAGGUGUGUGUUCAAUCCCAAGAUCAGAAGAGGAGCAAAGACGAGUUUUGUGAGGUCCACCACUGCAUCAACAAUUCGUCGACGAUGGCGUUUCUGCUGGGGUUACUGCGAGUCACAAAGAGCGUCGGUAGCGGCAGGAGGAGAAUGGACGCCAAGAGCGGCGCCGGUACCGUGUCGUCGUGGCGGCGGACGCCGGCACCGAUGAGGCAGCUGUUCUGGAGGGUGAGGCGCGCGAUGCUGCAGCGGGCGAGCCGCGGGGGCUCGGUGAGGUUCGGGUACGACCUCAAGAGCUACACCCAGAACUUCGACGACGGCCUCGUCUACGUCUGUCGCCGUCCAUUCUAGUCUAGCUAGCCAGGGGAUAUUAGCCUGUGCUGUUCAGACAUAACUUGUUUCUUGUUCAUAGUCUGAAACUAUACGGAUGAAGACAUGGGAAAUAUAUUAACACUCAGCAGCGCCUCGUGUAAGCAUGCGUUUGUUUGAUGUGCUCACACUUGAUGGGAUUGAGGUUUUGGUUACCGGAUAGUAUUUUGCUUACCUAUUUCUCAGGUCGGACAAAAAAAAUCCGUUAUCUUAAUAUUUUUGAAUUUAAGUCACAAAUGAACAUAUGCAUCAAAUUAGGAGGUAUCAUGGCGUCUACUACACUAUGGCUGUAUAUACCGUAUAAACGUGGAAUAUAUAAUCAUGGGCGGAGAACACGAGAAAAGAAAUAAAGGUGGGGUGAAGUCUAAAGCAUAAAAAUAUUGAAGGAAAAAAAUCGAAG
rnacentral:lncRNA from 1 species